GCGCUCGCUUCAGCAGCACAUAUACUGAAAUUGGAACGAUACAGAGAAGAUUAGCAUGGCCCCUGCACAAGGAUGACACACAAAUUCUUGAAGCGUUCCAUAUUUUU
ensembl:snRNA U6 U6 spliceosomal RNA